GCAGUCAAUCAAAAAGCCUGAAGAAAAGUCCGUUCCAAUAUGGCACCAAAGUGAGGAAGUGCAGGGACAUAAAGUGUUGAUUACAAACAGGAGCGGAUUUGAGAAGUUACAAACGUUUUUAUUACAGAAUAUGAACGUGAACUAGAGGAAAUAACGAAGCAAUACCGCUUAGACACGAUCGAGGGGCAGAAAUACACUAAAUUAGUACCUAACCUGCUGGAAAAGAAGAAGAAAAAAGUGAAGGCGGAGGAAGAAAAGGAAUCAUACAGGUGGACUGAAAACGAGGAGCUUUGGUGAAACUAUGGCGGAAUAACCACCUACGGAAAAUAAAAACGACCAUCCCUCAUUUGCCAUUAAUUGGGCAGAAAACAGCAUCAGAGCAAAGGGCUCAGCAGGAGGAGAUAUUGAUAUGUUCUCUCCUUCUUGGAAUUUCGGCCGAUCUUGAAAAGUCAUCACGCUCGGUCGCACGCCAACACGCAAAGAGGAGAACACAUGCAGGCUCCGCGGGGUCUGAUCCCUCCUUUCGGCUCGGCUGCUGGAUUUUCUCCGUCGUGAUCAAACCAAGGAGGCCGUGUUUCGUGUUACAUCGUCCCCCCCUUCUGAACCCCGUUCUUAUGAUUAUAGAAGCGGUUUUACAUUCAACAUGGGUUUGCGGCCGAAGGUGCCAUGCCGCCAUUGAACAGUUUUCCCAUGCAGCCUCUGUGUUGACAUGGGGCCUCCUGAGGCAGCGGUCUGUCAGUGUCAUUCUUCACGACCAUUGGACCGCAGGUUCCUGACUGAAGACAGAGAGAGGAAAUGACUUAGUUUUUUUUUUUUUUUUGUUUAAACUGCACUGACUGGACAGGAAGGGGCACCUUUGUGCAGAACCCCAACUCGUGGGGUUUAUUCUCUUCAUAUCGCCGCAUAUUGACCUUUUGGCUUUGUUUGACAGCUUUUCCUGAAUCGAAGUGAACUGAAGUGGGGGGAAAGAAGCCCGUUAUGUUUUCAUUCAUUUGUUUGAUCAUCAUUGAAAAAGUGUGAAAUGUGCAAUUUGAUUGUAUCUAAUUGAGUGUUAAAUAAAGUAUGUGGUACUAAUCAUCUACUAGUAUCCAGCAAUUCACAGACAGGUUCAAGUGGACGUUAUGGAAAAUGUAAAUGUUACUUGCUUGUAUAUAAACAGGUGACGCGGUGAGCGACUGGUUAGCACAUCUGCCUCACAGUUCUCAGGAGCGGGGUUCAAAUCCCGGCCCCGCCUGUGUGGAGUUUGCAUGUUCCCCCCCGUGCCUGCGUGGGUUUUCUACGGGAACUCCGGUUUCCUCCCACAUCCCCAAAACAUGCUUGCUAGGUUGAUUGAAGACUCUAAAUUGCCCGUAGGUGUGAAUGUGAAUGGUGGUUUGUCUAUAUGUGCCCAGCGAUUGGCUGGCGACCAGUUCAGGGCGUACCCCGCCUCUCACCCAGAGUCGGUUGGGGUAGGCUCCAGCACGCCCGUUACAGAUAAUGGAUUGAUGGAUGUAGACAAAUAGCUGGGUCUCUGGAGUGCGUCCCCACCCGCUAAAGGUAAAAUUAAGCAACUGAGUGAAUCUUUUGUUAUUUGCCUAUUUUUAAAAAUGUAUCUGUGCCCCACUGUUAAUUUACAUAAGGACGCCCCCCCCCACACCAAGUUUCUCCACCUAUGACAUAACGAGCUAGGCUAGACGGAGAUCCAGAGCCACUAACCAGAGCUGUUACGAUUUUUGUUGGAUGCACAUAAUGUCAUUCUUAAUAAGCGGCACAUGCGUGAUUGCUCGGUGUAGUUGUGGAUGCGGUGGAGGGGCGGGUUAACUCGUGUUUGGUGAUGUGUCCAUGUGCCGCAUACACACAUGUAUGCGGCACAUGUUUGGACCACUUGUUUUCUUUUAUAGGAGCUUAGUUUCCACACUCUGGGCUCUAAAUUGCCAUUAGCUUAGCAGUGUAUUGGGUGCGGUAUACAGGUGCUCACUCGCUGGAGACAGGUUCGGGAUGUUUCAGCAAGAUAAGGAAUAGAGUGUGUAAAAUGCACAAUAAUUCUUCAUCUUAGGUGUAUUUCAA